rnacentral:lncRNA from 1 species
UGUAAACGUUCUUCCUCUUCCUCCGUUUCUCCGUCACCGGCUCCUUCUCCUUCUCCUUCUCCGCCGCCUCCUCUUUCAACGUCACUUCAAAAGUUUAAGGUGAAAAUUACAGAUUUGACCCCGGAUAUAGCCAUAAAUUACAAAUAAAUAUCACCACCAACCCUCAAAUAAUAUUUUUUAAAGAAUCUUUUAUCAUCAUCAUAUUCAUGUAACUUCUACAAAUAUUAUUUUAAUUUUUCUAAUUUACUAAAACUAAGUAUAUUCCAAAUAUUGAUUUUUCCCCAAUUUCAUUUAUUAUUAUGAUUAAUUUAAUAGUACCUUGUUGGUUGGUGGAUUGAGUCUUGGAUGUGGAAUGGAAACCCCAGAAAUCGUCGGCGGCGGAAGCAUCGAGCUCUGACCAGAGUUCCUCCGCCGUGAGUUUCCUACCCUUAGCCUUGGUGACGUUAGGGGCAAAAUCGGAAAUU